UCUCGGGGGCGGGGCCGGCCGGCGGGGCCCGUGUUCCGGGGAGCAGAGACGGAGCGCGCUGGCCUGUAGGGCGGCUGUAGGGCCCUGGAAGCACCGACCCGCCCCACCUCGGCGGCCCUGCGCGGGGCUGUGGGCUGGCUCCUGCCGCCCCGCCUCCCCACUGGGGCUGGAGCCGCCGCCGCCGCCUCCCGCGGCGCGUCCGCCCCAGCCGCGCCGAUGCCACGUGGGAGGCGGAGGAGCCGCCGCCGGCGCCGGCCGGGAGCCCCGGGGCCCCCCCAGGCGCAGGGGGCGCCGCUGGCCGGGCGGCGAGAGGCGGGGGGCUCCCGGGAGCGGGCGGGGGCCGGCCUGCCCCGCUGGGCCCCGCGGGAGGAGGUGCUCGGCGGCGCCCAGGGAGAGCUGGGCCUAGCGGGGCUGCUCCCGGCCCCGCCCGGUAGCGCGGCGGGGCCUGCCGGGGUCUCCCACCCGUGGGCCGCCCCCGUCCCGCUCCUGGCCCCGCUCCUGGCCCCGCCGGCCCCCCGAGCGCAGGGCAGCGGCCUGCCCGCCGCGCUGGGCAUCUUCCGGGAGCUGGCCGGGCUGGCGCGGGAGCCGGGGCCCGGAGCUAGCAGGGCGGGGGCGGCGCCGCGGCUGAGGACCGUGUACGUGAACCCCAGGUGGCUGGAGCGGCAGGCGGCCUUGGCGGCGGCCCCGGAAGGCCCGGUCGGGCCGCAGGGCCCGGAGGCUGCGAGCGGCUCGCCGGGGCCUCCGCCCGCCACCCAGGGGGAGGCCUGCCCGGAGGCAGCGAGUCCCUACGUGGGGCUGCGGAGACCCCUGGGCUACCAGCUGGCGAAGGCCACCAAGGAGCGGAUCUGGAGGGGGGAGUUCAUUGACCUGUUCUCCUUGCUCCACACAGAGCUGGCCCCGGAGCACGAGCCUGGCCAGGGGCUGGGGGACACGCUGGACCAGUGGGUCUCCGCCUUCCUGGUGUACGCCAGCGUGCUGUGCGAGAAGCACCCCCAGAGGUGUGGGGCCAUGUUCAAAUACCUGGAUGUCAUCCGCAAAUUCCAUGCCACCUACGGCGGCACUUCUUGGCUGCACUAUGACGAGGACUUCAGGCGGCUGGCGGCCAAGGACCCCACCAUGGCCUGGGGGGAUGUGGACUUGAAUCUCUGGAUGAAGUGGAUGGCCCCGUUGAAGCCAUCCACAACCAGGCAGCUGCAGGCUGCGGGUGACCAGCAGGCUCCACUGCGGCCUCAAAAUCCCAGGACGGAUGAUAAAAGUCAGGUGUGCCGGGCUUGCAACAGUGGCACAUGCUCCCACACUGUCUGUGCAUUAAAGCAGAAAUGUACAAGGUGCCAGGGGCAUCAGGGUGCUGCCCAUGUAUGCUGUGCAUCCAAAGGGGAAGAGGAAGGAGGGCAGAUUGAAAGACCACGGAAAGCAGAAGAGCAGCAAUGCUCAGAAUGUCACUCGAGUUGAGACAGGGCCUCACUCCUAAUAGUCUAGAGAUUUUCACACAGAUACAGAUUUUUUUGGCUAAAAAAGUCAACUAAGAAUCUGUAGUUGACUGAUACACCAUGGUUUAGGGUGUAAACAAAGCUCCAGCGGGUUAGAACAGAACACUUAUUAGAAAAUGUGUUCCUUACUUGUAUCUUUUUUUUGGACAUUCUACUGCCCAACAGAAAUUAGUUAUUGAUACUGUUGUAAUGUUAAGGCCCCCCAGCAAUCUGUUUUUCCUCUUUGUAAAGAAUAUGUUGCUUUCCAAGAAAUCGCAGGUGGGUGGGAAAGAAAACCAGGAGAAUUGACCUCUAAUUGUCUUAAAUAUGUUCCUAAUGGUAGUUAUUCAUAUACAAAACAGAAUGUGCAUGAGAUUUUGCUGUUGUGAUUUUGGGAGGAUUUGGCAUCUGCAGGCGAAGUGAAAGAUAAAAGCUGGACAAAGAUGCACAUCAAUGCAAGUGAGAUAAACCAGAGUUUUGGUGGGCACAGUUUGCACCACUUCUAACGAAUAGAGGAUUCAAGUCAAACUCAGGAUUCAGUAGAUUAAAUCCACAAGAGUUUUAGCCUGCCUUGUGCAAAAGGACAAGAAGAAGGCCUUGUCUACAUUAAGGAUUUGCCAUUAUUACAGUCUUCAGUGUAACUGGACUGGUGCAACCGCGAAGGUACACCUGGUGGAGCUUAUUCCAUUUGAAGCAGGGAGGAGCUCUUCCACCAGUACAAAUAGCAGCUCUGUCUGUACAUGAGGGGUAGCAUCUGUCCAGUUAUAAUAAUAAUGACUAUAAUAAAAGCAAAUUCCCACAUAUAUACAAGAUCAGAGACUGAAUAUUGAGUCUCGGGUCAAAUGUAUGCUAGUUGAAAGGCUUUGUUAAUGCAUUCGCUAUUCUUAUUUUUUUUUUUAAUUGUUUUGAGGACCCUAGGAGGCAAACUAAUUUUUGAUGCAUCCUUUUGGAUUCUUGCUAUUCUAUAUUUUAUAGUGACUAGCACAGAGCUGUUAAAGGAUUGGACUGUACUAGCAUGAUCUGGAAAUAGAUAACUUUUCUAGGAGAAUUGCAAGUAUUUAAUAAGUCACACUAAGUCCUCAGUUUUGUACCACAUCAAAACUGGUUUGUCUGAGCCAACUGCAAAAACAGUGGAAAUGAGUGCCAUAGAAUGUGUACCAAAUAACACAUACUGUAAUAGCUCCCAGUGCAGCUCUUGUGGCAUUAGUACAUUUUUGUAAUGAUAAUACUCUAUGCUUAUGCAAUUUGUUCUGACAUCUCUCUUUAGACUUCUCAUUUCUGAGAUGUAGCAGAUCAGUUUUUACUUCACUGCAGAUCUUACCAUGUGAGUACUCUAAAUAUAACAUGUUAGACAUAUUUUUCAUCCUGUUAGAGAUUGGAUUUGCAGUUUGUAAUCUUAAUCAGACUUUUAAUUCUGUUGUUCUAAUUAUUAGUACUGGCUAUGGAACAGCUGUUACGUUUAGCACCAGAGGGCUUGAUCCUCUUCCUAUUGAAGUCAGUGGCAAAACUCCCUCUGAUUUCAACAGGAAUAGGAUUGGGCUCAAAUUUGCAGAGUUUUCCUAAGAAUUUGAGGAAGCUGUCAGAACUUACUAGCAUAUACAGAAGUGUUAAAUGUGUGUGGGAGGGUUCUCUUAAAUGGGUUCAGAUAAAUAGUUUGUAUUUUACAGUAAGGGCUUGUCUAAAAUAAAAAUUGUAUCCACCUUAACUAUAAUGGUGGUUGACUCUACCAGUGCAGUUAAAGCAGUAUAGCUGCCCUAGCAUGGUUGCAGUUGUAUUGGUAUAAAAGCUUAUACCAGUGUAGCUUCCCCUAUGCAAAUAAUCUCUCACACUGCUAUAACUGCAUCCAGACUGGAGCACAUACAGGUAUAACUAUUUCAGUUUAUUUAAAAAAAAAAAAAAUAGCAUUCCUAACCGAAAUAGCUAUGCCAGGAUAUCUGUUAUAGACCAGACUUAAGUUAAAGUGUGAGGCUUCCAUGGCAGGGCGCUGAUGGAGACACAAAAGUGUGGUGGUGUUGCUUUCCUUAUGGGUGACCUGCAAAGGAAAACAUUUCUUUUCCUGAGCUAUUUAUUGCUCCUUUAUGAUGUAUAAAGACGGUCUCCAAGAAAUAAAAGUUGUAUUGUCUGUUCGUGCUGGAAGACUAUAGAACUAAAUGGAAUAGUAACAUCACAUUAAGCUUAAGUCUUUUUCAUUCUUGAAUGAGAGAAGGGGAUGCUGUCUUCACACAGGGAGCUUUUCUCCCAGCUGUUUGAAUAUUGAAUAUUUCUUUGUUUGAAUAUCUUUUCAUUUUUUUGUUUCAUAAAAACAAAACAAUAAAAAAUUCAGUUUUAAGCAGUGUGACUAAACAUUCUUUCCUUUUACAAUCAAAGGUUGUGAAAACUACAUCUUAGAUUUCAGUCUCUUGUAAUGUUUUAUCCCCCUCUCCCCCCCGUUCUCCUGUUCUACAGACUGUUGAUCACAGCUAGAACAAAAUCAAGACUUGUUCUUCUAAUUUUUACAUUAGAAAUAUCUUUUAAAAAACAAAAAACAACCCACUUGAGGCACUCCUUUACUUCAUAAAGAAGCAAUCAAGAAACAAUUUUUAAGGGCUGGGGUGAGAAAUGAUAAUUUGGUUUUGGACUUGAUAGUUGGCAUCAGUGUGUCAUCUGAGACAAAUUCUUGAAACUUAUGUCUAGAUAAAUUUUAGGUAAUUCUCAAUUUUUUUAUACCACAUUCAAGGAGAAAGCUAGUUAGAAGGGCAGUCCAACUAAAUUGGUACCAACAGCCUGACUCCAUUGUUGUCUAAGUGGAGUUCAGGUAUUGUAAUGCAUCCAUUUACCUCUGCUUUUGCUGCAUUGCAUGCUCUGCUAAAGAAGACAUAGGAGACUCAUUUUACCCAACCAGCAGUUGUAGCAAUGGACUACAAUCAAGCCAGUUUGUUGGACAAUAGGAAUACUUGCAGUGCAGCAUUUGGCACAGACUAUCCAAAGAGGGCAAAGAUUCAGGAGGGUGAAUGAGUUGAACCACCUUUGAAUGAAGUCUGAAACAACUUCCAGAAGGGGAACGCUACUCUAAAAUACUACAUAGAAAAUAUAAGUUAAAGUGAAUAUUGUAAUUACCAGAUUGUCCCUUCUCAUUCAAACAAACUAUUUUGUGCUGUUCUGGGUCCUUAAAAGAUCACACCUAAAUAUUUCAAAAUCUAUGUACUAAUUUAAAACAGAUUUCAAAUCUUUGUUUUUAUUAACUUUUCUAUUUCAUGAAGAAUAUCUGCAACAACAUGUACUGAGUUGAAAUAUAUCCUACAUUCAGUAGAUCAGAGGCUGUUGACAGUUGUCUUACAAGAUUCACACAUUUCCUCUCUUUCCUCUGGGGGGAAAAAGCAUUAACUUCCAUUGGCACCUUCAAAAAAGCCAUAGGGCAGUCAUACAUACCUAUCUUCUUCACCAUACAUAGAGAUUACAAAUUAUUCUUCCAUUUAUCCCGAUAGCAUAUCUAGCAUUGUAAAUAUCAGGUUAUGAAUGGUUAUUGUCUGGUGCCAAUGAAAGUUAGAUUAGAUGGAUCAUGGCUUAAUUUUUUUUUUUUUUUUUCCCCCAGUGUUCUGUUUUCUCUCCCCCUCACCUCACACACUAGGGCAUAUGAUCAAGGUGAUAGUAUUAGGUAUCAGAAAAUCAAGUAUUAUCUGUUCUGUUUUCCCAUUCUUGGUUGUCACAAUAUUGUGCACUAACUUGAGAUGUUUGUAAAUUCAUAUUAAAAAUGUUUGAGACCUCAUCUAAAUAAAUUUUUUUUUUUUAAAUGUU